rnacentral:rRNA from 1 species
CUACGGGACGCACCAGUCGAGAAUCUUCCGCAAUGCGCGAAAGCGUGACGGAGCAAUGCCGCGUGGUGGAUGAAGGCCUUAGGGUUGUAAACACCUGUCACAUGGGACGAAUUUUGACGGUACCAUGAGAGGAAGCCACGGCUAACUACGUGCCAGCAGCCGCGGUAAUACGUAGGUGGCGAGCGUUGUUCGGAUUUAUUGGGCGUAAGGGUCCGCAGGGGGUUUGCUAAGUCUGAUGUGAAAUCCCAGGGCUCAACCCUGGAACUGCAUUGGAAACUGGUGAACUAGAGUAUCGGAGAGGUAAAUGGAAUUCCUGGUGUAGCGGUGGAAUGCGUAGAUAUCAGGAAGAACACCGAGAGCGAAGGCAAUUUACUGGACGAUCACUGACCCUCAGGGACGAAAGCGUAGGUAGCGAACAGGAUUAGAUACCCUCGUAGUC